rnacentral:rRNA from 1 species
GGGGAAUUUUGCGCAAUGGGCGAAAGCCUGACGCAGCAAUACCGCGUGAGUGAUGAAGGCUCUUGGGUCGUAAAGCUCUGUCAGAGGGGAAGAACCUCCUGUCAUAUAAUACAUGGCAGGCCUGACGGUACCC